rnacentral:lncRNA from 1 species
CUUUAAAGGGCUUGACCUAUUUUUUUGCUUCUUGAUUCAUUCUUGCCAUCCCCCGAUUUCUACCUUUUUUCAUACUAGACGACAGUGAAGGAGUCAGCCACAGAGGAGAAGCUGACCCCUGUGUUGCUGGCUAAACAGCUGGCAGCCCUGAAGCAGCAGCUGGUUGCUUCCCACCUGGAGAAGCUGCUGGGACCAGAUGCUGCAAUCAACCUUACCGACCCCGAUGGCGCCCUGGCUAAGUCGCAGAACUUGAAAAGCGCCUGACAGAGCUGGAGACAGCUGUACGUUGUGAUCAGGAUGCUCAGGUCAGGUGUUCUCCUGUACAUAAUCUGAGCCUUAGAUCCUGCAACUCUAGGCCUUAAGGUCUACAACAUUCCACAUAAGCCUGGGAGGAGUCAUCAAAGGGCUUCAGUUACAGGGAUCAGCUAGUGGGUUCCCAGCUAGAACCAGGAAAGAUGGGAGAAGACGAUAAUCAUGGAGAUAUAAGGACCACUCACUUCUUCCCUUCCUUUCCCACCAGAAUCCCCUUUCUGCAGGUCUACAGGGAGCCUGUCUCAUGGUGAGU